GCUGGUAGCGUAGUGGUUGGCGCUGCAGCCUUUAGACCCGAAGGUUGUGGGUUCAUAUCCCAUCUCCAGCU
rnacentral:tRNA from 1 species